AUUGAACGCUGGCGGCAGGCCUAACACAUGCAAGUCGAACGAGUGGCGGACGGGUGAGUAAUGUCUGGGACACUGCCUGAUGGAGGGGGAUAACUACUGGAAACGGUAGAUAAUACCGUAUACCAUCAGAUGCGCCUAUAUGGGAUUCGCUAGUGGGUGGGGUAACGGCUCACCAAGGCGACGAGCCCUAGCUGGUCUGAGAGGGUGACCAGCCACCCUGGAACUGGGACACGGUCCAGACUCCUACGGGAGGCAGCAGUGGGGAAUAUUGCACAAUGGGCGCAAGCCUGAUGCAGCCAUGCCGCGUGUAUGAAGAAGGCCCUCGGGUUGUAAAGUACUUUCAGCGGGGAGGCGUUACCCGCAGAAGAAGCACCGGCUAACUCCGUGCCAGCAGCCGCGGUAAUAC
rnacentral:rRNA from 1 species